AGCGGAGCUUGCCCGCGAAGGGCGCGCCGCGGUUUUCCUGACAAACCGCAGUGCCCCUUUCGCGGGCAAGCUCCGUU
rnacentral:antisense_RNA from 1 species